rnacentral:lncRNA from 13 species
AUGAAGGAUACACACACCCUGCUCAAUCUGCUUCUGCUGCUAGUGUACCUGGCAGGAUCAGCUGUGACCACUGAUGGAGGGAAGGACAGUACCGGUGGUCCCUUGGAACUAACCAUUUUGGGACCAGACUUUGUGACUGUGGGCGUGCCAUGCAGUUUUGACUGUACCGCCCAGUGCUCUCCUUCCUGUAGCUACAGAAUGAGUAUCGACGGGCAGAUUGGACAGGGGAACGAGCUGUUCUUCACAGCUCGCCAAUGGGAAGAGUCCCUAAACCUCACAUGCACCGCAAGGAAUGAUGACUCUGGGAGGUCCUCUACAGUAUCUAAGAUACUGCAGGUUUUAGCUGGACCAACCAACGUAUCAAUCACAGGCCCUGCCCUGAUGACCCCAGGGGCCCCUCAAAGUUUCCAGUGUAACGCCGACUGCCGUCAGUCCUGCAACUACACAUGGGGGAUAAAUGGCCGAUGGCUCGGGGGACAGGGGAACGAGAUUACUGUAACUCCCGAAGAAUUGGCCACCUCUGUUACCCUGAACUGCAAGGCCAUCAACAGUGUGUCUGGGCUCUAUGACAUGGCAACAAGGACAAUACCUGUGACAUGUGGUCCCUUGGAACUAACCAUUGUGGGACCAGACUUUGUGACUGUGGGCGUGCCAUGCAGUUUUGACUGUGCCGCCCAGUGCUCUCCUUCCUGUAGCUACAGAAUGAGUAUCGACGGGCAGAUUGGACAAGGCAACGAGCUGUUCUUCACAGCUCGCCAAUGGGAAGAGUCCCUAAACCUCACAUGCAUCGCAAGGAAUGAUGACUCUGGGAGGUCCUCUACAGUAUCUAAGAUACUGCAGGUUUUAGCUGGACCAACCAACGUAUCGAUCACAGGCCCUGACUUGAUGACCCAAGGGGCCCCACAAAGCUUCCAGUGUUACGCCGACUGCCGUCAGUCCUGCAACUACACAUGGGGGAUAAAUGGCCGAUGGCUCGGGGGACAGGGGAACGAGAUUACUGUAACUCCCGAAGAAUUGGCCACCUCUGUUACCCUGAACUGCAAGGCCAUCAACAGUGUGUCUGGGCUCUAUGACAUGGCAACAAGGACAAUACCUGUGACAUAUGGUCCCUUGGAACUAACCAUUGUGGGACCAGACUUUGUGACUGUGGGCGUGCCAUGCAGUUUUGACUGUACCGCCCAGUGCUCUCCUUCCUGUAGCUACAGAAUGAGUAUCGACGGGCAGAUUGGACAGGGGAACGAGCUGUUCUUCACAGCUCGCCAAUGGGAAGAGUCCCUAAACCUCACAUGCACCGCAAGGAAUGAUGACUCUGGGAGGUCCUCUACAGUAUCAAAGAUACUGCAGGUUUUAGAUGAUGGAAAAUCCAUGGCCACACAGGCUGAACAGACUAUAGACCUGCUUCUGUUCACAUUCACACUCUCACUCUACACCGUAAUAUCAACAUAAUCCAGGAAAAGGUGCUUUUAUACAAGGAAGUGAUCUGUUCACCACAUGCAUAUCUGAAUAAUUUGAAAACAUGUCAUCAUUAUUACAGACAGUGAUGGAACAUGUGGUUUAUUGGUAAAGAACAAAGAACAAACAGUGCCUCUCAUAUCAGGAUGUUAACGAUAUUUGCUGAUGAUAAGUGAAGUGGAAAGGCUUGGCUGAAUCUUUCACUAUCAAAGCACUACGUGUGUUUGUGCAAGUAUCAUGUAUAGCCUAUUUGGAUUAAAUAUUUAAUAAAGACACAUAUACAUUAAUUUAGUAACAUGUCUUUUUUGCAAUGUGUAACUGUUUCCAUACUUGAGAUGGAGUUGAAACCUGCAAGCAUGCCAUCUUCAUGGAAGGCACAGACUUUAAAGUAAUGUAUUUUAAAUGGCGUGUUGAGGUGGACAGGCUCAAGGCAGGGCAGGUCCAGCUCAACACGCCCUUUAAAAUACAUUACUUCAAAGUCUGUGCCUUUGGAAAAAAAAUAAAACAUUUAUGUAGAUCUUUAUGUAGAUCUUGUUUGCCCAAAUCAUUUACACUCCUAGUAUGUCUACAAACUGCAUUACUGCAAUAAACUACAUGACAAACUGUUUUUGAAAAUCUUAGUAUUUUCUCUCAAGUAAGUUCUGAAACAAGUACUUUAGAUCAAUUACCAUCAUAGUGAAUUAAAUAUUAGAAAUGUGAAAUAGUUCCGUAUUGUUAGUUGAAGUGCUAUGUUCACAUGUGGUCUGACUGAUGAGUAGCAUUAACUUCACAACAGAUGAGGGACCCACCCUGCAUCUACAUCUACAUUUUGCUCUUGAAUGUAAUCAACACGAGUAAAUAUUAAAACACACUUGAUCACGGAGUGCGAUUAGUCCGCUUUUGAUUAUCACUGAUUAUAUAUCAGGAGUUUCUUUUAUGGUACAUAAGAACAAUCAAUGUUCCAGAGAGGCAAUGGUCUCACCUACACACACACCCUCUCUAUCUUUUAAAGCUUUUCUAAUGCAUAACCCCUUUAUCAUCUUGAAUUAUAGUUCAAUUGGUUAAGUUAAUGAAUGCAUUUUAAAUGGAAAAACAAGUAUCCUUUAUCAAUAUAAUUAUUACACCAACAACCUCUGCAUCUACAUCAGAGCUAUUCGACAUAAUAGGAUGAACAGAUUAAAACAUAUUUACACACUUUCUUUUGUCUGUAACCUUCACCUGUCUGAAUGGACGAGAAGAAAACAAAGUGAACGCUCCCUCGCUCAGAGACAUGUCACUUGGCAGUAUCAAAAGGCUCAGUCGCAGUAGAGCAACGCCUACGAACACAAGGAACUAGCGCGCACGCCCUAACCAGAACACAAUGCCGUGGAGCUGAUUACCCACAUAAAGGUCCAAACGCUAGCGGCGCUUUCCUGGCACUGUCGGACAAUGUCUUGUUUUUGAAUUGGUUCCUGAUAAGAUUGUCAGACAGUUUUUUUUCUGAGGUAUAAGGGUAGAACAGCUGUUGUGUGGACAUUUCAGCCACUUAGUCACC